UCAGCUCAUUUUAAUCUGUUACAGAUGAACUUGUGAAACACUAUCUUGCAGGUAUAGUCGAUGUAAAUAAAAACUCUUAGAUGUUUUCUUUUAUGUUUCAAGGGAUUCGAUGAGUACAUGAACUUGGUUUUGGAUGAUGCAGAGGAGGUCCACAUGAAGACCAAGAACAGGAAACCCCUGGGACGCGUUAUGUUGAAAGGAGACAACAUCACAUUGCUGCAGAGUGUGGCCAUUUGAUCUUCUGUUAGGAGUUCAUCUGGAUAUCACUUGUUUGCUGUUAGAUUGUUGGUUUUACUUUGUUUUCAUUUGUCAAUAUUUGUAUUGUUGACCCAUGCUUACAAUUGUGGAAACAUUUGUUUUUCUAAUUUUCCCAAAAUAAACCUUUUCUUUUCUCUA